rnacentral:rRNA from 1 species
UACGGGGGGGGCAAGCGUUGUUCGGAAUUACUGGGCGUAAAGGGUUCGUAGGUGGCUUGCUAAGUCAGACGUGAAAUCCCUCAGCUUAACUGGGGAACUGCGUCUGAGACUGGCGAGCUUGAGUGCAGGAGAGGAACGCGGAAUUCCAGGUGUAGCGGUGAAAUGCGUAGAUAUCUGGAGGAACACCGGUGGCGAAGGCGGCGUUCUGGACUGUAACUGACACUGAUGAACGAAAGCCAGGGGAGCAAACGGG